rnacentral:RNase_P_RNA from 1 species
AGAGUAAACGUAGGUAGUUGCAAAUUUUACUACAAAUUUGAGGAAAGUCCGGGCUCUAAAAUAAUAUAGCUGUAUAAUAGACAGUAUAGGUAACUAUAAGGACAGUGCCACAGAAAGAAACCGCCUAAUAUAUAAAUAGAAGUUGGGUAAGGGUGCAAAGGUGCAGUAAAAGAGUACCAGAAGUAUGAUUAAAGUGCUUGCUAGGCAAACCCCAUAUAAGAGCAAAGUAGUAAACUGAAAAUUUAUCAAGAAGAUAAAAUGUGAUUGUUUAUAUUCAUUACUGCAAAAAAAUUAUAUGUAAAUAUAAAAACAAGAUUAAUAACUACCCUUAAUAACUUUUGAAUUUGUAUACUUAAAAUUCAAAGUUAUUAGGAACAAAAUCCGGCUUAUGCUUUACUUUUUUAUAC